rnacentral:rRNA from 1 species
UACGGAGGGUGCAAGCGUUAAUCGGAAUUACUGGGCGUAAAGGGCGCGUAGGCGGCCUGUUAAGUCGGACGUGAAAUCCCUCGGCUCAACCGGGGAACUGCGUCCGAUACUGGCGGGCUUGAAUUCGGGAGAGGGAUGUGGAAUUCCAGGUGUAGCGGUGAAAUGCGUAGAUAUCUGGAGGAACACCGGUGGCGAAGGCGGCAUCCUGGACCGACAUUGACGCUGAGGAGCGAAAGCCAGGGGAGCAAACGGG